GUGAAGCCAAGCUUGCUUGGUGGAUCAGUGGCGAACGGGUGAGUAACACGUGAGCAACCUGCCCUGGACUCUGGGAUAAGCGCUGGAAACGGCGUCUAAUACUGGAUAUGAGACGUGAUCGCAUGGUCGUGUUUGGAAAGAUUUUUCGGUCUGGGAUGGGCUCGCGGCCUAUCAGCUUGUUGGUGAGGUAAUGGCUCACCAAGGCGUCGACGGGUAGCCGGCCUGAGAGGGUGACCGGCCACACUGGGACUGAGACACGGCCCAGACUCCUACGGGAGGCAGCAGUGGGGAAUAUUGCACAAUGGGCGGAAGCCUGAUGCAGCAACGCCGCGUGAGGGAUGACGGCCUUCGGGUUGUAAACCUCUUUUAGCAGGGAAGAAGCGAAAGUGACGGUACCUGCAGAAAAAGCGCCGGCUAACUACGUGCCAGCAGCCGCGGUAAUACGUAGGGCGCAAGCGUUAUCCGGAAUUAUUGGGCGUAAAGAGCUCGUAGGCGGUUUGUCGCGUCUGCUGUGAAAUCCCGAGGCUCAACCUCGGGCCUGCAGUGGGUACGGGCAGACUAGAGUGCGGUAGGGGAGAUUGGAAUUCCUGGUGUAGCGGUGGAAUGCGCAGAUAUCAGGAGGAACACCGAUGGCGAAGGCAGAUCUCUGGGCCGUAACUGACGCUGAGGAGCGAAAGGGUGGGGAGCAAACAGGCUUAGAUACCCUGGUAGUCCACCCUAACGUAGGGAACUAGUUGUGGGGACCAUUCCACGGUUUCCGUGACGCAGCUAACGCAUUAAGUUCCCCGCCUGGGGAGUACGGCCGCAAGGCUAAAACUCAAAGGAAUUGACGGGGACCCGCACAAGCGGCGGAGCAUGCGGAUUAAUUCGAUGCAACGCGAAGAACCUUACCAAGGCUUGACAUAUACGAGAACGGGCCAGAAAUGGUCAACUCUUUGGACACUCGUAAACAGGUGGUGCAUGGUUGUCGUCAGCUCGUGUCGUGAGAUGUUGGGUUAAGUCCCGCAACGAGCGCAACCCUCGUUCUAUGUUGCCAGCACGUAAUGGUGGGAACUCAUGGGAUACUGCCGGGGUCAACUCGGAGGAAGGUGGGGAUGACGUCAAAUCAUCAUGCCCCUUAUGUCUUGGGCUUCACGCAUGCUACAAUGGCCGGUACAAAGGGCUGCAAUACCGUAAGGUGGAGCGAAUCCCAAAAAGCCGGUCCCAGUUCGGAUUGAGGUCUGCAACUCGACCUCAUGAAGUCGGAGUCGCUAGUAAUCGCAGAUCAGCAACGCUGCGGUGAAUACGUUCCCGGGUCUUGUACACACCGCCCGUCAAGUCAUGAAAGUCGGUAACACCUGAAGCCGGUGGCCCAACCCUUGUGGAGGGAGCCGU
rnacentral:rRNA from 1 species